AACGAACGCUGGCGGCAUGCCUAACACAUGCAAGUCGAACGAGACCUUCGGGUCUAGUGGCGCACGGGUGCGUAACGCGUGGGAACCUGCCCUUAGGUUCGGAAUAACUCCCCGAAAGGGGUGCUAAUACCGGAUAAUGUCUUCGGACCAAAGAUUUAUCGCCUUUGGAUGGGCCCGCGUUGGAUUAGCUAGUUGGUAGGGUAAAAGCCUACCAAGGCGACGAUCCAUAGCUGGUCGGAGAGGAGGAUCAGCCGCACUGGGACUGAGACACGGCCCCGACUCCUACGGGAGGGAGCAGUAGGGAAUAUUGGACACGGGGCGAAAGCCUGAUCCAGCAACGCCGCGUGAGUGAGGAAGGCCUUAGGGUUGUAAAGCUCUUUUACCCGGGAUGAUAAUGACAGUACCGGGAGAAUAAGCUCCGGCUAACUCCGUG
rnacentral:rRNA from 1 species